rnacentral:rRNA from 1 species
UACGGAGGGGGCUAGCGUUGUUCGGAAUGACUGGGCGUAAAGGGCGCGUAGGCGGUUUGGACAGUCAGAUGUGAAAUUCCUGGGCUCAACCUGGGGGCUGCAUUUGAUACGUUCGGACUAGAGUGGGGAAGAGGGUCGUGGAAUUCCCAGUGUAGAGGUGAAAUUCGUAGAUAUUGGGAAGAACACCGGUGGCGAAGGCGGCGACCUGGUCCUUGACUGACGCUGAGGCGCGAAAGCGUGGGGAGCAAACAGG